rnacentral:tRNA from 1 species
GCCCCCGUAGUUCAGUUGGAUAGAGCGGUCGCCUCCUAAGCGACAGGCUACUGGUUCGAACCCAGCCGGGGGUGCCA